AUGGCCGCCCACAUCGCCAUUGGAUGCAUCGGCGAGGUGUACAACAAGGAUCUUAACGACACCAUAUAUCAGAUAUGUGGAUGCCGAGAUGGGCAAUGGGAGAUGAUCCGCACCAGGAAGGACAGUUCCAUUGCAGCCUACAUACAGGAGUUGAACCAGCACAUUCGACACUAUGAAAACCAGAUGUGCGCCAACAUGAUAGAUAUGAAGAAGGUGAUGACCCAGAACAUGGAGCUGGAGGAAGAACUCAAGUCUACACGCGAUGGAUAUGAAGAAGAAAUUGAUGUACUACUUGAGAAGAAUGAAGACCUAAAGAAGAAGAAGCUAGGAUUCAUGGGGGGUCUUGAACCUGGAGUGGACAUCCGCUCAGAGGAUUACAUCAUACUAGAUGACACAGACUCCAACCCCGACAACGAUGAUUAUUAUGAAGAUGAAGCUGGAGCAGAUAUCAUGGAGUCUUCCACCGAUCAAAAUUUCUAG
rnacentral:rRNA from 1 species